AAGUAGGUCAGCAUCUAGCCUGGCUCAGCAUUUGGCAAUCCACUGGCCAGAUGCUGUCACACAGCUUGGCUUCUUCCUGCCAACAGCUGGGUUAGGCUUCACAAUCACCUGAGUCAGCCCUGUAGGUUCUGCAGCUCUGGAUAGCUGUGACAAAGCUGCUUCAACCUGUGGGGUUUUUCCGCUUGAGUCUUCUGAACCUGGCAUCCACGGAGAUAAACACAUCAAAAUGAGGGUGUGAGAAUCUGGACCAACAUGGACUUGGGACAGGAUUUUGUCUGAGACGUUCACAACCUAAGAGGAAAAAAUAUAUCCAUGGAUUGUUAGGUAAGUCUUAAACUAUAAUUAUUUCUAAGAAUUAUAAGAAGCUAAUUCUUACCUGAAGAAAUGUUGAUCAAAUCUGCUUCCCAUGAACUUAAGCAAAAAAAAAAAAAAAAAAAAAAAAAAUCUGUUCAUAAGAUAGCAAAACAAGCAAACAAGUUAUAUGUGAGGGAAGAAAAGCAAUAGAUAAACAUAUGCAAAGCUUAUUCACUGCUAAGCACUUAACACACUUUGGUUUAAUUCUCGGAACCAUCUGGUAAGGUUAGUAAAUAUUAUCCCCAUUUUACAGAUGAAGAACUUCGGCUCAGAGAGUUUCAGCGUAUUUGUAAAGUUCAGGAUCUUAUCUAAAGUUUUCAAAAUAAGAAUGAUGUCUUCACACUUAAUGAAACAACCCUUCAUGGCUGGUCAAGAGGACUCAGGAGGUCGACUCUCCAGGCCCCUGGCAGUGCAGUGUGCUAGCAAUCCCUCCCGGCUGAACUGGCUCUGUGUUUAUCCCAUCCUUUGGAUCAUUAAUAAUGACGGUAAAUAAAGCCCAACCUAGGAAGCUAGUUCUUUUAAUCUGACAGGUACUCAAGAAGUAGUCACACCUCAAAAUGAAGAAAUACCCACAGCCAGAACUCCCUAAGUUUCCCAUGUAAUAACUGAGCUAUUCAGCAC
rnacentral:lncRNA from 1 species